rnacentral:lncRNA from 1 species
AGCAAGUGGAGAGCAGCCGCAGCACUUGGAACAGCCCCAAAGCUACUCAGAUCAUCUCAUCUGGAGUGUGACAGAACCAGCAAACAGAGGAGAGAUUGCCAGGCCAGCAGUGAAAUAGCCUCCCAGAACCAAGGUCAACACGGACUUUGACUUCACCAGGGGUGAACAGCUGGGGACCAUAAAUAUUUUCCACCUGUGAAUCAGAAACAGUCCUACUGGCAACCGCAUUAGAGCCUCAGUGGAGGAUGUCUUCUAG